GGGCUUUAUCAUCUCCAAUUGCUUUAAGACUCUCCACAAUUUCAGCAUCAGUGAUAUCCAUACAUAAAUCCUUUCUUUGCUGCUAUGUUAGGACUGGACCAUUUGCCAUGUACCUUCUGUUUAUUGCUGGAAGGACAGAAGUUGAUGAUCCCAUAAGAUUUUUAUUGAAGCCACUGAUCUCAUUUCUUAUACCUGCUGAUGUGAUGACUUUGUCUCCCAUUACAUUUAUAAGUGCUGUGAUAUGUUUAUUCUGAGUUCUCUCCUUCAUGACUGCAGUAAAGUACUUGGUGUUAGCAUCUCUAAGUUGAAUCCAUUUUGCUCUGGCCUUCUGCUGUAGGACACUUUCUUC
rnacentral:lncRNA from 1 species